rnacentral:rRNA from 1 species
CCUACGGGUGGCAGCAGUGGGGAAUCUUCCGCAAUGGACGAAAGUCUGACGGAGCAACGCCGCGUGAGUGAUGACGGCCUUCGGGUUGUAAAGCUCUGUUAAUCGGGACGAAAGGCUUUCUUGCGAACAGUUAGAAGGAUUGACGGUACCGGAAUAGAAAGCCACGGCUAACUACGUGCCAGCAGCCGCGGUAAUACGUAGGUGGCAAGCGUUGUCCGGAAUUAUUGGGCGUAAAGCGCGCGCAGGCGGAUCAGUCAGUCUGUCUUAAAAGUUCGGGGCUUAACCCCGUGAUGGGAUGGAAACUGCUGAUCUAGAGUAUCGGAGAGGAAAGUGGAAUUCCUAGUGUAGCGGUGAAAUGCGUAGAUAUUAGGAAGAACACCAGUGGCGAAGGCGACUUUCUGGACGAACACUGACGCUGAGGCGCGAAAGCCAGGGGAGCGAACGGGAUUAGAUACCCGAGUAGUC